GGCGCGAAAACUUUGCAAUACUCGAAAGUGUGACAGGGUCAUCCCGAGUGCCGACCGCUGAGGUUGGCUUUUACCCAGUCUAGAAAGCUGGGGGAAUAAGGAGAGGGCAAGUCUGGUGUCAGCCGCCGCGGUAAUACCAGCUCUCCGAGUGGUGUGGACGUUUAUUGGGCCUAAAGCAUCCGUAGCUGGCUGAACAAGUCCCCUGUUAAACCCACCGAUUUAAUCGUUGGUCUGCGGGGGAUACUGCUCGGCUAGGGGACGAGAGAGGCAGGCGGUAUUCUCGGGGUAGGGGUGAAAUCCUAUAAUCCCGGGAAGACCACCAGUGGCGAAGGCUGCCUGCUAGAGCGCGCCCGACGGUGAGGGAUGAAAGCUGGGGGAGCGAACCGGAUUAGAUACCCGGGUAGUCCCAGCUGUAAACGAUGCAGACUAGGUGUUUGGACGGCCACGUGCCGUUCUAGUGCCGCAGGGAAGCUGUUAAGUCUGCCGCCUGGGGAGUACGAUCGCAAGAUUGAAACUUAAAGGAAUUGGCGGGGGAGCAC
rnacentral:rRNA from 1 species